rnacentral:tRNA from 1 species
GCACAGUGACAUAGUGGUCAGUAUUUCCGCUUGUCAAGCAAUUGGCAGAUCGUGGGAGACCGGGAUUCAAUUCCCCGCUGGAGAGCA